AGAAAUAGAACGGGUGGCUGUCCUCCAGCCCCAGGUUGGGGGGAAAAAAAAUGCCGCAAAACCGAGUUCAUCCUGAAGACGGCGGUGGCUGACAGUUUUAUAACAGUGCUAGACACCCAGAUGGGCUCUUUCUAGCACAUUCCGUGGCCGAUGUGUCCGAACGACCCUCCUGAAUGCUACCAUUAUAUUGACCCCAGCGGGUUGGCAGAAAAUGUGUUUUUCAUUCUGCAGAGCUCCAAACCGCCGCCUGGAACACACAGACUUUUCUGCUUCUCUGCGAAGAAUCUGACAGCACACCGCAGCACACGGCAGGAUAUCUGCCUUUUCUGCCCCAACAAUUCUCCUCUCUAAGGCACAGAGGAGGUACAGAAGCAUGGAAACCGCUCCCUGAAUUACCAAAUCGCUCCUCUGAAUAAAAAAUAACCA